rnacentral:lncRNA from 1 species
ACAGACAGCCCCGCAAACUCUCUUUUGAAUGCUCCAAGGUAACUUCCCAAGGACCAGAAAGUUCUGGUUCCUAUCCUGAGACCUCAGCAGGAUGUGCCUUGGACAAAGGCUUGGACUCCUGAAUCAUCUGGUGACUUCAAGAUUCUGGUCUCAGGGUGGUGAACUUUUUCUUUGAAUUCCUCACCUAUGAGCUUAUGAUGAUGGUGCCUGUCAAUUAACUGAACUACUGUGGUUUUGAAUUUCUUGAGGCCAGGGACUUUGUCUAAAAACACAUUCAGUGAUUAUAUAAGGAAGACGUCUGGUGAAUACCCGUGGGAUCUAAAGAACAAGUAAGAUUUAAGCAUGCUAUGGGUUUUUUGGUCUGUUUUUCAAGUUUUCUUUGUUUUAUAGUAUUUCUUUACCACUAUAAAUUGUCACUUCUUAGAUAAGCAUUAGCACUUUUAUUAUGGAGCAUGAGGAAUAAAAAUGAACUUUUAACACUUUUGGAUUAUUUGGAGGCUUUAAAAACCUACACGAAUUUUCUACAUAUGGUAGGCAGACAGAAAGACAUUAUAGAUGGAGUGAAAUUUCAAGCCCAAAGUAAUGGGCAUGUUUUUAUGCUGAGUGAGUACAAAUCUUUAGAAUGAAUUUUUAUAAGGUAAUUUUUAAAUGAAGUGUCUAUUGCUAUAGCUGUUUUACUCUUACCUCUUGCCUAACAGAACAGGUCAGAGAGUAGUUCCUUUGAAGUCCCAAACCUACUUACUACCUGCAGAACCAUGACUUGGUACCAGAGAAUUUGGGCAAUAUGGGGUACAUUCCCCAAAUUAGAAUGUAAUAUGUUGGGAUGAUGAGGAGAGGGGCUUUAGUUAAUAGAGUAGAAAAGAGAAUAGGUGAGAUAAUGGUCAAAAGUAAAGCAAAUGAAGAGGGGAAAGUUGAAAAUAAUCAUAGGGAAUAAAGCAGAUCACCAUAAAAAUAAAAAGAGUAAACAAAUAGAUUACAUAAUAUUUUAUUAUCAACUAUUGAAAGAAAGGAUACAGAAAUAGGACAAAAUAAGAAUAGAGUAGAAACUGGAAUCUAAAGAGAGGUAGAGACAGGAUAUGUAACAGGUUAUACUUGAUUAAAAUAGAGAAAUAAAAGAGGAAGUGUUCUAAGAUAAAGUUCCAUUUUUAAUUUUUCCUACUUAUUUGACAAUUUACUUAGUUGAAACUAGAUCUUGAGUGGUUUAAAAAAUAGAAAUGUUGAAUAUUUUUAUCUGUUUCAUUGAAGAAGGAAAAAUUGUAGUCAUCGUAUAAUUAUUUGAUGUUUUGGAGAUUUUUGCUUUAUGCGCAAUUCAAGCCAUGUUCAAAUGAAGAAAAUGUUUCUUGAUUUGUAUCAAGUUUUCCUUGAGUGUUCUAACCCUGCUCUACUCUUGAAAUCACUUGACUUUGAAAAAAGGGAAAAUCAUGCAUUUAGAGAGGUUAAAUAAGUCAUUAUAAUGUCUUUCUCAUCUACAGAAAGCAUGUGUUAACCAAUAUAAAUUUACAGUCAGAACAGUUCAAAUUGCUCCUGCAUUCAGGAAGGCAAAGCCCUAAAUUGAGCCUGUUGUUAUUGUGUAAUUGCUAUUUGCAGGCAAAAGAAAGGUUAACACUGGGACUUCCCUUCAUGGCUCAGGGAAAAGGCCGCAGGUUCCAUCCCUGGCCUUACUAAGUGGGUUAAGGAUCCUGCAUUGCUGUAAGCUGUGUUGUAGGUCGCAAACAUGGCUCGGAUCCCAUGUUGCUAUGGCUAUGGUGUAGACCAGAGGCUACAGCUCCAACUCAAUCCCUAGCCUGGGAACCUCCAUAUGCCACAGGUGUGGCCCUAAAAAAAAAAAGAGAAAACAAAACAAACAAACAAACAAAUGCUGAUGCCGAUCUCAAUUGUAAUGUACAGAUUUACAAAGGAAUUUUAUAGGAGUUCCUGCUCUGGAGCAGCAGAAACGAAUCUGACUAGGAACCCUGAGGUUGCGGGUUCAAUCCCUGGCCUUGCUUAUUGGGUUAAGGAUCUGGUAUUGCCGUGAGCAGUGGUGUGUCUAUGUCUCAGACGAGGCUCAGAUCCUGCAUUGCUGUGGCUGUGAUGUAGGCCAGUGGCUGUAGCUCUGAUUGGAUCUCCACAUGCCUCUGGUGAGGCCCUAAAAAAAGACAAAGAUAAAAAUAAAUAAAUAAAUUUUAAAAAAGAAAGGAAUCUUGUAGAAGUGACAUUUUUUUUAUUCCAAAGCGUAAAUCAUAAAGAUUCAGCCAGGUAACUUCCCUUUUAAAGGUAAAUAAGUGAAAAUUCAUUUUUAGCAGCAUUUUCACCUUUUAAUUGGGAAGUGUGGCUUUAAGUUUAUGGUUAUUGCUGUUUAUUGCUUUUGGGGGGCUAUUAUAAGUUAAUUGUUUAUCAUCACAAUAAAAGGUCUCUUUUUUUCCUAAAAG